rnacentral:rRNA from 1 species
GACAGAGGGUGCAAACGUUGUUCGGAAUUACUGGGCGUAAAGCGCGUGUAGGCGGCUAAGUAAGUCGGGCGUGAAAUCCCACGGCUCAACCGUGGAAGUGCACUCGAAACUGCAUAGCUAGAGUCCUGGAGAGGAAGGUGGAAUGCUUGGUGUAGAGGUGAAAUUCGUAGAUAUCAAGCGGAACACCGGUGGCGAAGGCGGCCUUCUGGACAGUGACUGACGCUGAGACGCGAAAGCGUGGGGGAGCAAACAGG